UUUAAUAAAUCUUUCCACAUUUGGUUGGUAAAUUGUGUAGCAUUAUCGGUUAGAACACGACGAACAGAUACUUUGUGUUCAUUUAUCUGUUUCAGUACGAAUUCCAUUGAUUCGCAUACAGUUUCUUGGAGAAUAUUUUCCAUUGGACGAAGCCAAACUCUACCGGAAAACAUAUCUUUGGCCACUAAAAGAUAUCUCGCCUCAUCUGACUCAUUAGCGAUUGGACCAAGAUUUGUUAGCUUUACACUGAAUACAUGCCCCGGUGAUGAAUCUCGCGUAAUGUUCGAUAUUCGGCGAAUAAUAUAUACGAUGGAAAAUCACAGCAAGUUUUUUAGAACCUACGUGACCGAAUACUUCAUGAAUAUAGAGCAUAGUAUCCCGAAACAGCGAAUCAGGAAUUACAGAUCGAAGAAGUAUAUCAUCCACGUAUUUGCUAAUUCCAUCGUCAUCGGGGAUGACUUUAUUUACAAGAUUAACAAAUUCGGCUGACGAGAUUUUUAAGCCGUACGGGAGACGUGUAAAAUGAUAAACGCGACCAUCUACUUGGAAAGCACAAUACUUUCGACAACUUUCAUCCAACACGAGUUGCCAGAACCCUGAAACAAAGUCCAAGGAACUGAAAAAUCUCGCGUCAGGAUCAUCAGUAAUUAUUCGGUCUAAGAGACCUGCUUCGUUGUAAUUCACUUCUAAGAUGGGAUUCAAAUCUACGGGAUUAAUGCAGAUUCGAAGUUCACCGGUUUUCUUCAAGUUCGCAACGAUUGGAUUUAUAUAACGUGAGUUUGAAGGCUCGAUUAUGCCAAGUGCUAACAUGAUUAAUAAUUCUUGUCUAAUACGAUCCAUUAAUGAUUUUGCAGGAUUGUAUUUUGCACCACGGUAUUCAAUUUCCUCAAGAGGAAUAUUGAAUUCAAACUUCACCUUUUCUCCAACGUAACGGCCUGGGAAACGACUAAAUAUAUCUUUGAAUUGAGAAAGUACAGCGAAUGCAUAAUCACACUCAGCUUGAGUAAUUUGCUUCUUUUCAACGGCGAGUUUGAGAUCUUCCUGUAAUCGUUGGAUGAAAACAGUUGGACCAUCAUCUUCAAUACCUUCGGGUAGUCGUCGGUAUUUACGAGCUAAAUUUGCACGAUUGAGAAUUUUUGCAACUUCAGGCUCAAGUGAGAUAUCGAGUCUAAUUUUAUUAAUUAUUAGCGAGUCUUCGUAUUCGUGUGGUUUUAAAUACCUUAACAUCUCCUUAGAGUGUUCUGACGUAGGUUGACAAUAUGCCACGCGCUCACUAAUUUCAGGUUUGAUUUUUAAUAGAUCCAUAGUUCGAGUACCAAUAAUAAACGUUUGAUUACAACCGGGUAAAACGUAAAAUGGGAUUUUCAGUUCGUGUUUUCCAAAUUUCAAUUUUGGAACGAUUACGUAAUCAGCGGUUUGUAUUUCUUUAUCAUCAGCUAAUGUACAAUGGACCGGAUUGUCCAAAUUAAUAUAAUCUAUUUCAUCUGCGUGUUUUUUCCGCAGGAGAUUAGCUGUUUCUUCAGAAAUUACAUUGGGUACCGCACCGGAAUCUAACUGGGUUGGAUAAAAUGAUUCACCUAAGCCGAGUGAAACAACACAAGUAAUUAUUUCUUCUGGUGGAUACGUUAAUUGAUUUUGAACUAAUGGAUCCGCGUGUUUUUUAUUAUAAACCUGUUUCGACGCUUUCACUUGAUGAACUCUCAGCUUCUCAUACGAAUCUUGACCAGGGCGUUCGUUGAUAGGUGGUUCACACAUUAGCUUACCGACAGAAAUUUUAUCGCGAAGAGUAGUACGUCGAUCAGGUAGUUCGGAAAAAUGUGUUACAAUACCAGCGAUUUCUCGCUUAGUACUCACGUGUGGAUAAUAAUUUGUACCUUCUUUUGAUAGGUAGAAUUUGGACAAAA